rnacentral:lncRNA from 1 species
CCCUGAUCAUAUCCAUGUCAUAGUGAUUAGCCUGUAGCAUUGCCUCUGCUUUCUGCUGAACCUGAAGGGCACUUUGAUGUGUUUUCUCUAUUGCAUGUUGAAACUGCUCAUGUUCCCUCUGUAACUGUUCUGCCUCUUGCAAAGAGCUAGCAGUGAUAAGGCCCGCGUUUAACAUUGACUCCCCAUUGCGGAUCCAGCCCAAGACCUGCUUGACCUCCGCCUGCAGAUGGCGCAGCUGCACGCACUGCUCCAAGUGCUUGCGGUGCUGCUCGGCUGCUACAUCCAGCUCCUGCUGCUUCUCAUGGAGAAACUCCAGCAGAUCCUGAACACGAGUUGCCAUGUCUACAUCCCUGUCACAAAGUAGCUCAACACCAGAUGCCUGCACUUCGUUGACAUAUUGCAGCAGAUCC